GUAUGAAGUCUAAAUACCUUAAAGGCACCAGUUCCCAGAUCUUGGAAGCUAAGUAGGGUAUGCCCUGGUUAGUACUUGAUUGGGAUACUUCCAAAGUAUACCAGGUUCUGUAGGCU
rnacentral:rRNA from 1 species